AUGCUAUCGUCGCUGUCCACUGAACUGCUAUCAUCAGACAGGGAGCUGGGGCUGGGAGCUGGGUCCUGGGACUCCCUGGGGAAUGGAAUCCCUUCGGAGGCGGACGUGGAGGCAGAGGCGGAGGCAGAGGCGGGUCUCCUGACCUGGAAGGCCAGGGCCGUGUCUUGGCUCCCGGGGCCCUCCUGCUUCGUCCUCUCUGCCGUGCUGCCAAAGACACUGGGGGGUUUCUUCCAGUCUCUCCGGAGCCCGCCCAGCUGCUCCAGGAAGUGCGUCUGGGCGGUGCUGAACCUGACCUUCUUCCUGCACGCAGCCCUGGGCUCCCUGCACCUCUUCUUGAGCUUUCGCUUGGACCUUAACAAGUCCUUGAUGGCUGUGUCCAGGUCCUCGUCACUGUCCAGGGAGCUGCUUUUGUCUUCGGAGCUUUCCUUCUCUUCUAGGCGCCUCACCUCGUCUGUCUUACCCUGGCCCUGUGACACGCGAGUGUCGCCCGGUCCCCUGGCAGCUUCUCCCCCUCCGGGCCUCGCUGGCUUUGCCCUGGACAGGCAGGUCCCGCCCCUCAUGGCCAGGCUCGGCUCUCCCCUGGCUAUGGUUGGCAUCCUGGCCACUGUCUUUCACCACCUCCCGCGUUUUCUUGGGCGUGGAUGGCCUCACAUGGCCACCACCUCUACGCUUCCUUUUGCAGCCCAGCAGUGGGUCUCGUGUUUUAGAAAGAGGGGCCUUGGGGCCGCUGGUCUGGCUGCUGAGGCCAGGCGGCAAAAGUGGAACCUGGGCAGCCUGAGGGCAGCUCUCACCUCUGGCCAGCAAACUCCCCGACUGCGCCUUGAGGGCCAAAAACGUCCGGAUUUCCUGCUCAAUGCUGUCAUCACUGUCCACAGAGCUACUGUCGCCGUCAGAGCGGGAAGGCACGUUCGGGGAGUAGAAGACGGGGCUUGCAGACAGGGACCGGUCACCGCCCUCCACAGGGGCCGGCAGGAUCGUCUUGGAAAUGUCCAGGAUUGCUUCUGCGCACAUCAGCUCAGCAGAUGUGUCUGCCCGGCAUGA
rnacentral:lncRNA from 1 species